AUUGAACGCUGGCGGCAUGCCUUACACAUGCAAGUCGAACGGUUUGAAGGGGCUUGCUCCUUCAGUUAGUGGCGAACGGGUGAGUAAAGCAUCGGAACGUACCCAGUCGUGGGGGAUAACGUAGCGAAAGUUACGCUAAUACCGCAUACGAUCUGAGGAUGAAAGCGGGGGAUCGCAAGACCUCGCGCGAUUGGAGCGGCCGAUGUCGGAUUAGCUAGUUGGUGAGGUAAAGGCUCACCAAGGCGACGAUCCGUAGCUGGUCUGAGAGGAUGAUCAGCCACACUGGAACUUAGACACGGUCCAGACUCCGACGGGAGGCAGCAGUGGGGAAUUUUGGACAAUGGGGGAAACCCUGAUCCUGCCAUGCCGCGUGAGUGAAGAAGGCCUUCGGGUUGUAAAGCUCUUUCAGUCUGAAAGAAAAGGCUCUGGUUAAUACCUGGGGUCGAUGACGGUACCGGAAGAAUAAGUACCGGCUAACUACGUGCCAGCAGCCGCAGUAA
rnacentral:rRNA from 1 species